rnacentral:piRNA from 1 species
UCGAGAAAAAUCAUAUCCUUU